rnacentral:rRNA from 1 species
GUGGGGCUGAUGACUGGGGUGAAGUCGUAACAAGGUAGCCGUACCGGAAGGUGCGGCUGGAUCACCUCCUAA